AACGCGAAGAACCUUACCAGCCCUUGACAUCCCGGUCGCGGACUCCAGAGAUGGAGUUCUUCAGUUCGGCUGGACCGGAGACAGGUGCUGCAUGGCUGUCGUCAGCUCGUGUCGUGAGAUGUUGGGUUAAGUCCCGCAACGAGCGCAACCCCCGUCCUUAGUUGCUACCAUUUAGUUGAGCACUCUAAGGAGACUGCCGGUGAUAAGCCGCGAGGAAGGUGGGGAUGACGUCAAGUCCUCAUGGCCCUUACGGGCUGGGCUACACACGUGCUACAAUGGCGGUGACAAUGGGAUGCGAAGGCGCAAGUCCUAGCAAAUCUCAAAAAAGCCGUACUCAGUUCGGAUUGGGCUCUGCAACUCGAGCCCAUGAAGUUGGAAUCGCUAGUAAUCGUGGAUCAGCACGCACGGUGAAUACGUUCCCGGGCCUUGUACACACCGGUACUA
rnacentral:rRNA from 1 species